UGCCUGGCUUGAGUACGUGAGAGGAGAUUGGAAUUCCAGGUGUAGCGGUGAAAUGCGUAGAUAUCUGGAGGAACACCGGUGGCGAAAGCGGAUCUCUGGCACGUUACUGACGCUGAGGCUCGAAAGCAUGGGGAGCAAACGGGAUUAGAUACCCCGGUAGUCCAUGCCGUAAACGUUGUGCGCUAGGUGUAGGAGGUAUCGACCCCUUCUGUGCCGCAGCUAACGCAUUAAGCGCACCGCCUGGGGAGUACGGUCGCAAGACUGAAACUCAAAGGAAUUGACGGGGGCCCGCACAAGCGGUGGAGCAUGUGGUUUAAUUCGAGGCAACGCGAAGAGCCUUACCCAGACUUGACAUCCCAGGACCGCCUAUGAAAGUAGGUUUUCCCUUCGGGGACCUGGAGACAGGUGUUGCAUGGCUGUCGUCAGCUCGUGUCGUGAGAUGUUGGGUUAAGUCCCGCAACGAGCGCAACCCUUGUCCUCAGUUACCAGCGGGUUAUGCCGGGCACUCUGAGGAGACUGCCGAUGAUAAGUCGGAGGAAGGUGGGGACGACGUCAAGUCAUCACGGCCCUUACGUCUGGGGCUACACACGUGCUACAAUGGUCGGUACAGAGGGACGCAAGAUCGCGAGAUGGAGCCAAUCCCAAAAAGCCGGCCUCAGUUCGGAUUGCAGUCUGCAACUCGACUGCAUGAAGUCGGAAUCGCUAGUAAUCGUGGGUCAGCUACACCACGGUGAAUACGUUCCCGGGCCUUGUACACAUCGCCCGUCACAUGACCCGAGUUGGGUGCACCCAAAGCCACUGGCUCAACCAGCAAUGGGGAGAGGUGUCUAAGGUGUGUCUGGUGAGGGGGAUGAAGUCGUAACAAGGUAGCC
rnacentral:rRNA from 1 species